CUACGGGCGGCUCCAGUGAGGAAUAUUGCACAAUGGGGGGAACCCUGAUGCAGCAACGCCGCGUGGAGGAUGACGCAUUUCGGUGUGUAAACUCCUUUUAUAUGUCAAGAAAAUGACGGUAGCAUAUGAAUAAGCACCGGCUAACUCCGUGCCAGCAGCCGCGGUAAUACGGAGGGUGCAAGCGUUACUCGGAAUCACUGGGCGUAAAGGACGCGUAGGCGGGUUGGAAAGUCAGGUGUGAAAUCCUACAGCGUAACUGUAGAACUGCACUUGAAACUUCUAAUCUAGAGUAUGGGAGGGGGAGAUGGAAUUAGUGGUGUAGGGGUAAAAUCCGUAGAUAUCACUAGGAAUACCUAAAGCGAAGGCGAUCUCCUGGAACAUUACUGACGCUAAGGCGUGAUAGCGUGGGGAGCAAACAGGAUUAGAUACCCUAGUAGUC
rnacentral:rRNA from 1 species